CCGGAGUCCAGCAGCCUCCUUCAAAGAGACGGGAAGCUGAGGCCAGAGAGCUAAGCUGGAAGGCGAUGAACGAGAAGGCGACCACAGCUGGGUCAGGAGGCUUAGCAGCGGAUGUUGACCGGGACCCCGUCAGAGUGUACACUCACUUCUGGUCAAUCAAAGAAUGUGCACAGAGAAAGGCUGGCAUCCUCUAGGCAGAUUUCCAGAGAGUGCUCCAGCUUGCUGGCACGAGGGAAGGAUCUGGCUGCGCAGAAGAGGCAAGUUGUGAUGAUGAAACCCACUAUUGAGGAACAUUGGCAAGCAUGAUACUGGUGGGAACCAUGUGCUUGGAGAGGUACUAAGGGUGCGGGGUAAGGAAAAGGACCCCGGAGAGGGGGGGGGCACACCUCCACUUCCAGGGUAGAGUCCAAGUCCUGGGCCCUCCCCUUGCCAGACUUGCCUCCCACGCCUCCCCAAACAGCAUUCCCAGUCCUCAACUCACAGCUCUUUGCUGAUACCCCAAAUGCGGUGCUAUUGCAUGCUUCCAGCUUUCUGCCUGAAAUACUCUUAACGCUCUUCUCUGGCCACCUCAUCCUCUGAGAGCCAUGUACUGUCAUCUCCUCCUGGAAGCCCUCCCUGACUGACCCUACCCCAGGUGAGUUUCUCACUGCAGGGGGGGGUGGGGUGGGCACUAACAUAGGCACCAAUCCCACACUCGUGUCACCAAUCCCAUACUUGUUUCCACAUCUAGGCUCUGAGCUCCUUGAGAGCCAUGUCCUCUCAUUUUUAUGUUCUCAGAGCCUGGACCAAUGGCUGGCAUACACAGGCCCUUGGUGAAUGAAAGAUAGGGAGCCAGCCAUGCUCUGGGAUCAUGGGAGGUGCUUGUGUGGAGAAACUCAGACCACCAGUGGCCACCCAGCCCCUCCUGCGAGCCACCUUCCAGAGUGGAGGGCUGUGUGGCCCGAGGGGACAGAGGCAGAAGAGAUGGCUCCCUCCCUGGGCCUAGGGAAAGUGCUGAUUGAAGAUGGACGAAAAGCUGGCCCCAUCAGGAACAAAGCAGUGGCCUCAGCCCCUGGGAGGAAGACAGGAUUCCAGGGCCAGAAACCCACACCUCCCUGCCCUGAACUACCCAGGAGGUGACUAAAGGGGCCUCCCCUUAGCCCGACUUGUCAACUUCCUCUGAUGUUUUGGGCAAUGGCGUCAUCGUAACUGGGUAGCGUGUGUGCAGCUGUGUGACGAGUGACGUCAUCCACAAUAGAACUGGUUUUUUUCUCCUUCUACCUCUUAGAGAAAGCUGCUAAAAAUACACCUGGUAUCCUGGACCCCUCUGCUUUGCCUCUAAUAAUCGUCAGGGACCAGAGGCUGCACUGCACUUGACAGAAGUAGAUCAUUUAUAAAACAUUAGCAUUUCUCGUUCUGACAUUUCCCUUCCAUAUUACAGGACUUACUAAGUGUUUUUAAAAAAAUUUUAUAAAGUGCUUGGACUCUUGAUCUUCCCACUGAGGGCUUUACUGUCUAAAGUUGGAAAUUAAAUCAACAACCCGACAACAUCCUCAGGUUCUAAGGGAGAGCCAGGCCGGGGUACUGGACUGGGUAAGAGCAGAAAGGCCAUAAGAGAUAAACUGCAAGCUAAAGACGAUUUGUUCUGCCCUCCCCCAACUCCCAUUAGUGUCAUUUUAAGCCGUGUGCAGAGGUGGAUUUGUCCAUACCUGACA